rnacentral:lncRNA from 1 species
AGAAUAUCUACAUUUAUAACUAACUAGAGUGUAAGUCAAUUCAUCACACACUCACUAAGCCCUGCUUUUGCUAAAGGUGACCCUUGGCUGGUGUGAUCACUAUCCUUGGCCCUUCUGAGCAUCUAAGUGCUAUUCCCAGAGUUACGUCAUAAAGGAACACAAAACUAUUGAUAUAUGUCUGCACAGUGAGUUCCCAGAGUACAACACAAGAGCAGUCUGUAACCUCGGCCCUUCCAGUAAAAGCAUAUGGAAAUGCAAACACCCACUAACAACAAUAAAGAGGCCAAAUCACAAGCAACAAGACACAUGAGGACAAAAUCGAAAAGGAGAAAACAAUUUUGGAAGCUCAAAGUCUCUGUUAAUUCAACCUCACAAUGGGAAAUGACUGCAGACCUGGGCUUGCCGGCUGAGAUACUCCACGGGCGCUUAUGA